GUGGGGAAUAUUGGACAAUGGGCGAAAGCCUGAUCCAGCCAUGCCGCGUGUGUGAAGAAGGUCUUCGGAUUGUAAAGCACUUUAAGUUGGGAGGAAGGGCAGUAAGUUAAUACCUUGCUGUUUUGACGUUACCGACAGAAUAAGCACCGGCUAACUUCGUGCCAGCAGCCGCGGUAAUACGAAGGGUGCAAGCGUUAAUCGGAAUUACUGGGCGUAAAGCGCGCGUAGGUGGUUUUGUAAGUUGGAGGUGAAAUCCCCGGGCUCAACCUGGGAACUGCCUCCAAAACUGCAUGGCUAGAGUACGGUAGAGGGUAGUGGAAUUUCCUGUGUAGCGGUGAAAUGCGUAGAUAUAGGAAGGAACACCAGUGGCGAAGGCGACUACCUGGACUGAUACUGACACUGAGGUGCGAAAGCGUGGGGAGCAAACAGGAUUAGAUACCCUUGUAGUCC
rnacentral:rRNA from 1 species